GCCUUCGUAGUGUAGUGGUCAGCACGCUCGACGCGAAAUCGAGAGGUUCAUGGCUCGAGUCCUGGCGAGGGCA
rnacentral:tRNA from 1 species